rnacentral:rRNA from 1 species
AACGUGACGUACUUAAGAUAGCAUUCGCUACUCGUGCAGCAGCGCGGUAUACGAGAUGCAGCGUAUCGAAUCMAUGGCGUAAAGCGUCCGCAGGUGGCUAUCAGUCUGCUGUAAAGGCAGAAGCUCAACUUCUGAUAGGCAGUGGAAACUGGUUAACUAGAGUAUGGUAGGGGUUGAGGGAAUUCCCAGUGUAGCGGUGAAAUGCGUAGAUAUUGGGAAGAACACCAGUGGCGAAGGCGCUCAACUGGGCCAUAACCGACACUCAGGGACGAAAGCUAGGGUAGCGAAAGGGAUUAGAUACCCCUGUAGUCCUAGCUGUAAACGAUGAACACUAGGCGUUGCUUGUAUCGACCCGAGCAGUGCCGUAGCCAACGCGUUAAGUGUUCCGCCUGGGGAGUACGCACGCAAGUGUGAAACUCAAAGGAAUUGACGGGGGCCCGCACAAGCGGUGGAGUAUGUGGUUUAAUUCGAUGCAACGCGAAGAACCUUACCAGGACUUGACAUCUCGAGAACCUUGCCUAAUAGCAGGGGUGCCUUAGGGAACUCGAAGACAGGUGGUGCAUGGCUGUCGUCAGCUCGUGUCGUGAGAUGUUGGGUUAAGUCCCGCAACGAGCGCAACCCUCGUUCUUAGUUGCCAGCAUUAAGUUGGGCACUUUAGGAAGACUGCCGGUGACAAACCGGAGGAAGGUGGGGAUGACGUCAAGUCAGCAUGCCCCUUACGUUCUGGGCUACACACGUACUACAAUGGUUGGGACAAAGGGCAGCGAACGAGUAAUCGCCAGCGAAUCUCAUCAAACCCAGCCUCAGUUCAGAUUGCAGGCUGCAACUCGCCUGCAUGAAGGAGGAAUCGCUAGUAAUCGCAGGUCAGCAUACUGCGGUGAAUUCGUUCCCGGGCCUUGUACACACCGCCCGUCACACCAUGGAAGUUGGCCACGCCCGAAGUCGUUACCCUAACCGCUUGCGGAGGGGGAUGCCGAAGGCAGGGCUGGUGACUAGGGUGAAGUCGUAACAAGGUAAC